CAAAACAAAGUUAUUGAACCCUAUCCAAUUCUAAGCUCCCUUUCUCUAUCCCAUUUGCCACCGAUACUCUACCGCUCGCCGUCCUUGCAGUAGCCAAUAUCGUUGGGCUCUCUCUCACCACCGACAAAAUUUUGGCUUCUGUCUCCUCCCCGCCAGCUCUAUUAUUAUCCAGACGAGUAUUUUUUUCUCCUCUUUUCUCUCAUAGUUUUUGAAUAUAAUACCUUUUAUACUUUUAUUUUUGUAUAAUCUGUGUUUUUAUUGAUUGUGAAUCUGUGAUGUUAUUUACAGUGAUGGUAAAUAGUGUUAGUUUUGACAAUGUGUUGCGUGCGAUGGUUUUUUAGGGUUUUUUGUUUUUUUAUUAGGAGAUUGUGAUAUGGGGCUUAGGAGAUGAGGGGACUGCAAGGGCUUCAGCUUUUGAAAUUUUUGUCCAUUUUUGAAAUUGUAAGCAUAUUAAUUGUGUGAUUGUUGCUUACAAGUGAAGCAAAAUAAAAAUUAAGUUAAUACUGUAAUUUAGAUUGUUGAGAAUCAGAUAAAUUCUUGAUUAAGGCAGAAGAAAAUAAAAAUCUUGAAGAUCAAACAUUCACAUCUAUUGUUGAACCGAAUUGAAUGAGUUUUACACCAGACUUAAGCCACAUUUAUACUAAAAUAGAACGAUAGAAUGAGCUGGAAUAACUAACCCCUAUAAAGUGAAAAAAAAAUAACUCCUCUUCCUUGCUGGCCUUUCUUCUACUUUUGACUUCUCUUCUUUUCUUUUUCAUUCCAUAAUUUCAAUGUGUGAUGCAAUACUCCAACAUCCCCCUCAAGAUGAACAUGUAUAUGUGAUGCAAUACUCCAACACCCGUUAAAAUUUGCUUACAAAUUUCCCUUAACUUCCUCCGUUGUUUCUUUUUCUUUUUAUAUUUUAGCUUGUUUUAAACAUAUUGCAUUAUUGCUAUAAUGUCGGUAGGUAAACUGUGGAUUUAAACUGAACCAAACCGCAAAUAAUGGUUUGGUUUGGUUUGAAAAAUAAAAUGGUUUGGUUUAGAUUGAAAAAAACUUUAAACCGCAUAAAAUGGUUUGAGUUGAAAAUAUUACUUAAACCAUCCAAACCAAACCGUGUUCACCCCUAACAAACACCUAUCAAGAAUUAAAUUAGAUUCUAAUUUAUUGUAUUUGGUUUCAUGCAAAUUCCAGAGGCUGAGGAAGAUUAUUCCUCUUCGGCUAUGAACUGGUAAUUUUCUUUCUUUGCUGGUAAAUUUUUUGAAGUCGAUUUUGGCUUUUUCUUCUUCAUUUGUUUUUUUGCUGUAAAUUCGAGUGAUUACUUUUUUUAGGGAAUCUUUGAAUACUUUAUUUUGAAUUUGAACUUCUCUUAGAAAUGUUGUGGUUUUCUCUAUAAUGCUUAAUUGUAUAUGUACAUAUUGGUCUGGUUUCAUUUGUGAUUGUUUGGGUUAGUUCAUGUUUCUGGGUUUUGGGUGUUUGGCAUUGUUAAGCCUCAAAGAUCGUCUCUUUAUCUCAAUCGUGGCUUCAGUUUUGCUGUUUCUAAAGUAGUGUGAGGUUUUCACGAGAGGGGAUUGUAAUAGAUCCAUAAUUUUUUAUAGUCUUCAACUUUUUGGAUUGAAUUACUUAGAGAUUGUGUUCGUACUACAUUCGCCAAGUUCUGUUAAAACUUGUGCUUGGAUUACACACCUUCGAAAUUUGUUGUAGAAAGUUUUGAGAAGUUGUAGUUUCCAAAUAGUCUCUGUUGAGGAUGUUUUGUGACUUAUUUAUUAAUCCAUUAAAUUAAAUUGUCUAUGCUAGAGAUAUUAGCUUCUAUUCUACUUAGUCCCUACUUUUAUGCCAGAGAUUUAGCUUCUGUUUAAUCAAUCUGCGUGUGUUCAGUUAGAUAUUAUGAUAAGUGAUCUUGUGCCCUUUUGAAGUAUCGGUUUUUGGGUACUUAUUAAACAGAGAUAAUUACUGAUAGGACUACAGAAAAAAAUAAAUAAAUGAAAAUAAAAAUCUUAGUUUAAUUGAAUUGAGAAAUGUAAACUUGAAAACAAAAUUAGAGAUGUUUCCUGGAAUAACACUUUUUCCAUGAUAUACCAGAGUAUGCUUUCCAGGCCAAAGUUCCUCCAUGUUGAAUAUAUCCAUAAGCAAUUAAAUGUUUCACUUUCUUCUCCCCACACAU
rnacentral:lncRNA from 1 species